UACGGAGGGUGCAAGCGUUGUCCGGAAUCAUUGGGUGUAAAGGGUGCGUAGGCGGACAUCUAAGUCCGGGGUGAAAUCUUGCCGCUUAACGGUAAAAUUGCCCUGGAUACUGGGUGUCUUGAAUCCAGAAGAGGUCGGUGGAAUUCGUGGUGUAGCGGUGAAAUGCAUAGAUAUCACGAAGAACAUCAGUGGCGAAGGCGGCCGACUGGGCUGGUAUUGACGCUGAGGCACGAGAGCGUGGGGAGCGAACAGG
rnacentral:misc_RNA from 1 species